rnacentral:rRNA from 1 species
UAAGACAUCUAUUCCCUAAAUGCACCAGAUCCCAUCUAAUCUUGGAAUCUAAGCAGGGUUAGUCCUGGUUAGUAUUUGGAUGGGAGACUGCCAAUGAAUACCAGGUGCUGUGGGCU